AUGAACGCUGGCGGCGUGCCUAAUACAUGCAAGUCGAACGAAUCUCUUUUAGAGAUGAGUGGCGAACGGGUGAGUAAUACAUAGGUAACCUGCCCCUGUGCGGGGGAUAACAGGAGGAAACUCCUGCUAAUACCGCAUAGCCAUGAGCACCGCAUGGAGCUCAUGCCAAAUAUCCUUUAUGGGAUAGCGCAGGGAUGGACCUAUGGCGCAUUAGCUGGUUGGCGGGGCAACGGCCCACCAAGGCAACGAUGCGUAGCCGGCCUGAGAGGGCGGACGGCCACAUUGGGACUGAGACACGGCCCAGACUCCUACGGGAGGCAGCAGUAGGGAAUUUUCGGCAAUGGGGGAAACCCUGACCGAGCAACGCCGCGUGAGCGAAGAAGGCCUUCGGGUCGUAAAGCUCUGUUGUAAAGGAAGAACGGCGCAUACAGGAAAUGGUAUGCGAGUGACGGUACUUUACCAGAAAGCCACGGCUAACUACGUGCCAGCAGCCGCGGUAAUACGUAGGUGGCGAGCGUUAUCCGGAAUCAUUGGGCGUAAAGAGGGAGCAGCGGCCGCAAGGGUCUGUGGUGAAAGACCGAAGCUAAACUUCGGUAAGCCAUGGAAACCGGGCGGCUAGAGUGCGGAAGAGGAUCGUGGAAUUCCAUGUGUAGCGGUGAAAUGCGUAGAUAUAUGGAGGAACACCAGUGGCGAAGGCGACGGUCUGGGCCGCAACUGACGCUCAUUCCCGAAAGCGUGGGGAGCAAAUAGGAUUAGAUACCCUAGUAGUCCACGCCGUAAACGAUGGUCACUAAGUGUCGGGGGUCAAACCCCGGUGCUGCAGUCAACGCAAUAAGUGACCCGCCUGAGUAGUACGUUCGCAAGAAUGAAACUCAAAUGAAUUGACGGA
rnacentral:rRNA from 1 species